GAACGAACGCUGGCGGCAUGCCUACCACAUGCAAGUCGAACGAGACCUUCGGGUCUAGUGGCGCACGGGUGCGUAACGCGUGGGAACCUGCCCUUAGGUUCGGAAUAACUCCCCGAAAGGGGUGCUAAUACCGGAUAAUGUCUUCGGACCAAAGAUUUAUCGCCUUUGGAUGGGCCCGCGUUGGAUUAGCUAGUUGGUAGGGUAAAAGCCUACCAAGGCGACGAUCCAUAGCUGGUCUGAGAGGAUGAUCAGCCACACUGGGACUGAGACACGGCCCAGACUCCUACGGGAGGCAGCAGUGGGGAAUAUUGGACAAUGGGCGAAAGCCUGAUCCAGCAAUGCCGCGUGAGUGAUGAAGGCCUUAGGGUUGUAAAGCUCUUUUACCCGGGAUGAUAAUGACAGUACCGGGAGAAUAAGCUCCGGCCAACUCCGUG
rnacentral:rRNA from 1 species